rnacentral:rRNA from 1 species
UACGUAGGGUGCGAGCGUUGUCCGGAAUUAUUGGGCGUAAAGGGCUCGUAGGCGGUUUGUCGCGUCGGGAGUGAAAAUCCAGGGCUUAACUCUGGACUGGCUUCCGAUACGGGCAGACUAGAGGUAUGCAGGGGAGAACGGAAUUCCUGGUGUAGCGGUGAAAUGCGUAGAUAUUGGGAGGAACACCAGUGGCGAAGGCGGCUCACUGGACCGGAACUGACGCUGAGGCGCGAAAGCGUGGGGAGCAAACGGG